ACUCUUGCUGUGAGCAGAAUGUGCUUCAACAUGCUGUGUUCCACUCAUUGAGAAAAUGAAAGAUUUGAAGAGACUGUGGAUUAAUGAUCUCCAGUUGGCCAGUUUCACUUGUGUAGGUAACAGCAGAUGGCAGAAGAGGGGCAGUCUGACAAAAUGGUGUCUGACAUGGAAGUGCGGAUGAAGCAAAGGUGUGUCACUGACUUCCUUCAUGUGGAAAAAAUGCCACCCACUGACAUUCAUCAGUGCUUGCUGAAUGCUUAUGGAGACCAAAAAGUGGAGAGCAUGUUCCCUAGCCUCACAGACCUCAGAUCUGUAGUUGAAGCACUGGAGCUGAAACCGUAUCAUUGGCACUGGGACAACUAGGCUGGACUUGGAUAAUUCCGGAAUCCUCACUGCAAGACCUGAUACAUCUUCUCAGAUGGGACAGUUAAGCAGUUUCACUAUUACUUGCUCUCCUUCUUCCCUAUUCCCCUGUGGUUGAUUCACACAAAAAUAAAUUAUCUUCAUCAGCUAUACUUUUCAUGCACAGCUCUUGGUCUAGGCUGCUGGUUUAAAAGAUCUGAAUUAAAAUCUAUUUACUUCCAGUGUCACGUUGAAAUACUGGUUUAUUUGCAGGAAAUGUUUCAUUUUGUUUUUCUUUUAGGAUUCUUUUUUCUUUCACUUCCUUUAUUUUAAGAUAUAUUUUACCACUUCCUAUUUCAGCCUUUGUAUAAGUACUUGUUGAUAAUCUAUUAUUUUUUCUAAUUAUAUUUUUAUAUCUCCUUUAUUCAGUGUACUGCUGAAGGAAAAGCAGAACAAUAAUGAAAGUAAAUGAGCUAUAUGGUUGAGAUGAAAAUUAAAUAGCCUUUCUGAAUUUGUCAGUUUUCUACAUAGUUUUUAUUUGAGAGUUUAUUAUAAAUGCAACCAUGCUGAAUUGAAGUUGUAAAGACUUGUUCUGCCUUUCCCUACUUCCUUUGUGCUUGCUUUUGUGGCUGUGGUGAAGCAUGAAGUAUUCAAUUUAAUAAUUACAUUUAAAAGAAAGUUAAUUAUACAAAGCUGCUCUGUGCCACAUCCACAUAAAUACAUUUAGUUGUCAAAUUUGCUGAAAUUUGAAUCUCCCUGGAAGAGCGUUAGUAUUACAAUUUCGCACACUUCAACAGCAGCUAUGUAAAUACUCAACUCUGAAAUCAAAUGCUAAUUUUUCCCAAGGAUUAGAUAAGUCAUGUAGCUAAUAUUUUUGUUGACUUUUAUCCCAAUAAGAUUUGCACUGUCCUACUUAUAAUGUGAAAAAAUAGAUUUCUGGUUAGGACACUUGGCAAUCACGGGGAUGUUGCAGUUCAGAUCCAGUUGUUGAUGUGUUCUCAUACAUUUUCAGUCACAUCAUGUUUUUAAAACAUGCUCAGUCAUAUUUUUAGGAUAUGUUGAUUUUUUUUUGUGUUUGGAGGUGAAGACAAUAUUUUACACAGUCAUAUAUACUGUAAGCUGCUAAAUAGCAUAUCCUUUUAAUGUGACAAAUAUCUAUACUGUUAGCUAACAUGGACAGUGCAAUCUCAUUGUGGGAGUUAAGUGAUGAGAUGAAAUAGCCCAUGAUCUUGGAAAUGUGGGUUACAGUUUCUUAGGUAUUACAGACUAUAUCACUAAUGAAGCAAUUUGUUCUGUGUCCACUCACAUUUCAUUUGCUGCCAUCAACAAUUAAGAGAUGUCGUAGUAAGGUCAUCGUAGAUUAACACCUUGUCUUUGCAAAGAUCUCAUUAAAAUAGAGAGGAAUUCUAAUUCCUAGCCAAGAUAAUGUUAAUUUGAUGAGAGAAUAAAUAUUGUGGAAGCAAUUUGUGCAAGAGAAAUGAAUGUUAAAAGUAUUAUUCUCUUUUCAAUAAAAGAAGUAAUUCUUACAUGGAAAGAUAGCCUAUUGAAAAAAAUAGUCAGACAUGUUACUGCAGGAAAUGGUUAGAUACCUUGGCCUGGUUAAGGAAGCAUGUCAUGUUGUCCGAGAUUUGCACAGAUGUGCAGAGCCAUAAAUAAAUUGAACAGAAAAUAAGAUUUCUCCCUUUGCUGGUUGCCAGUGUUACAGUUAAACUACAAAGAAAGUAAUUUCUCCAACCAUCAUACAUUUACUUCCCAGUCAUCCUCGAAUGCUUGUAACAGUGAAGGGCGUUGUAAUUGACAUUUCAUUCUAAUACACUGGCUGCCUUGCCUGAAUUUUGGCUGGUUGAUAAGGCUCUUGGAAAUCCAGAGUCUCAUCAUGUCCUGAACAAUUUCAAUCCAGCCCUAUGGCAAUCUAAGUGCUUAACCAGCAAAACAGGAAAGACAAUAUUUGGAGAUGCUACCUUUCAAAAUGCACACAGCAGAGUAACUGAAAUAAUCAAAUUGCUCCUGAAUAAUCCUUUUUCAAAUUUGAAAGCAGAAUGAAGAAAAGAUUUAAAAGAAUAUACAUGUCAAUUUAAGCAAAUAAAAUGUGCAGACAUGAAUUCAUCACAACUGUAUUGUCACUGACGUUGCAUUUCAGAUAAAUUUGAUGAUAAUAUCACAUUUUUUUAAAGGAGGAAAAAAAUCAAUAAUUUUGUCUACAGACUUUGCAUUAUAUUCCAGUUACUUGAAAGAAAAUGUCAUGUGCAUCAACUCAUUCUUCAGGAUGUACUUUCUGAAAAGAUGUGGAUAAUAUUACAUAGACUAAGGGGAACACAGCUACGUUUGAGCUGCUUUAAGGCAAUGGUCCAUGUGCAUGCCCUACCAUGUGGAACCCUGUUGAGAAUCAGUUUAUUCAGAUGGCAGCAGAGGGAAGGUCUGACAGAAUGCUGUUUGACAUGGGAGCAUGCAUGAAAUGUGGAAUUCCUCCAUGUGGGAAAAAUUGCACCCACUGAUAUUCAUUGACACUUGCUGAACAUAUAUGGAGACCAAACAGUGGAUGUGAACACAGUGAAGUGAUGUGUGGUGUUUCAGCAGUAGCAACAGUGAUGUGAAAGACAAGCCAUAUUCCAGAUGGCCAUGAAGAUUUUUAUGAGCACAACAUUCAGGCCUUUGUUCAUUGCUAGUGAUGAAUAUGUACAAAAAUAGUAUCCUGUAGCUGAGAAUUUUGUCUGUCAGUGUUAUUGUACUCUUUGUGUCUGUUAUAGUUUCCAUGGAAAUAAAUAGGAGGCAUUACUUUUGGAACUACCAACAGAGAUAACCAGCUAUAAGCCAAAUUUCUAACUUUCAAAUGACUAAAUUUAGGUUAGAUGUAGUCCAUGCAUAACUGUAUUUUCUUAUUCUAUGAAGAAUGUAAGAAUGGCUACAGUAGUUUAUAUCCUAAGUCUCAACUGAUGGCUAGUAUUGCUUGUCUAGAAAAGAGUUUAUGAUAAGGGAAAUAAUAUGUCCGCAUUGUUCCCUAUAUGUUUGCAUUCUUCAGUCAUCUGACACUAAGCAUGAUACUCAGUUUGAGAUUUGGUCUUCAUAUCACAUUCAAAUAGGAAAUGCUGAGUGAUUUAAUGUAACUAAUGCAAUCUAAUCUGUAGCCAUUAGACAAAAAUAACAAUUAGACGUGCCACUUUUCUGCAUGGAUAUUACAAAUUUAAGGCCAUCCCUUAUAAAUGAAAAAUGCUACUUCAGAGUGUUUACUGAAAACAUGAGGGCAUUUUUACCACAAGAAAACUACACAGUGAUUGUUAUCUCCAUGUAAAAUCCUAACAGGCAUAAGGUAGAGCUAGUUUUAACCUCAGAGCACUGAGAUAAACCUGAAGAAGUAAAUACAAAGCUGACCUUCACUGACCAUAUCAAGGCAUAGAUAUAGAUAGCUAUUACAUUGUUUGAGAUAUUCUCUUUUUUGUUUUAUUUAUAAUAAAAUACUUCUGUCCUUUAUUUCUCCUUACUUCAGUGAUAUAAUAUGGAUGCUUUUCCAGUUCAGAGGUGAAGUUUUUUUCUCUGCAAAAGUAACUCUAAUCCCAGUUUUGUCCACUUCUGUGUCUGCAUUUCUUUAACUGGUCACUGAAUCACAAAAUCACAGAAUUGCAGAAAUUGAAAGAGACCUCAAGAGAUCAUCGAGUCCAGCCUGCCCCUGCUAAAGCAGGUACCCUACAAGAGGUCACACAGGUUGCUGAUGAUGUUGAACAAGACCAGACCCAGCACUGACACCUGGGAAGCACCGGUAAUUAAAGGCCUCAAGCCAGAUUCUGUGCUGCUGAUGACAACCCUGUGAGCUCUGACAGUGAAACAGUUCUCAAUCCAGCUCACUGUCCACUCAUCUGUGCCACAUUCUCUACAUUUCAUAACCGGGAUGUUGUGGGAGACGGUGUCAAAUGCCCUACUGAAGUCACGGUACACAACAUCCACUGCUCUCCCUCCAUGUACCCAGACAGUGGUGACAUCAUAGAAGGAUAUCAGGUUGGUCAAGCAUGAUUUCUCCUUGGUGAAUACAUAUUGACAACUCUUGAUAACUUUCUUCUCUUCCAAUUGCUUGGAGAUGGCGUAAAGAGCAAGUUGUCCAUCAUCUUUCUAGGGAUGGAGGUGAGGCUGACUGGCCUGUAGUAUCCCAGAUCCUCCUUCUUGCCCUUUUUGAAGACUGGAGUGACAUUCUUUAUCUUCCAGUCUUCAGACACCUCUCCCAUUUGCCAAGACCUUUCAAAGAUUAGAUAGAUAGCAGUUUAGCAGUCAUCUCUUUUAGUUCUCUCAGCACAUUUGGGUACAUCCCAUCAGGUCCCAUGGAUUUAUGUACAUUGAUUUUUGCUAGAUUCACUCUGACCAGAUCCACCUUGAUCACUGGAAAGUCCACCUUUGCCCAGACUCUCUUACCUCCAGGGUCUGGAAUUCCAGAGGGCUAGUCUCAGCAUAAAAGACUGAAACAAAGAGGGCAUUCAGGAUCUCUGCCUUCUCAGCAUCCCCUGUUACCAAGGCACCCAUCUCAUUUAGUAGGGAACCCACAUUUUCCCUAGUCUUCCUUUUACUGUUGACAUAGUUAAAAAAAAUAUUUCUUCUUAUCCUUUUCCUCCUUUGAAGGGUUUAAUUCCAAGAGGGCCUUAGCCUUCCUACAAUUCCUGAAAACAUUCCUUACUCUUGCCACCUUUUCCCAGUUUCUUACUCUUACUGGCCCAGGAAUGGACCAGUCUUGAGCUUGGAAGAAAUUGUGUUUAAGCACCAACUAGCUCUCAUGGUUCCCCUUUCCUUCUAACACUCUAGCCCAUGGAAUAACUCCAAGUAGGUCUUUGCAGAAGUAGUUAUUUGUCUCUCGUGAAGUCCAGGGUAGCAAUUCUACUUAUUGCUUUGCUUCUCCCACACAAGAUCUUGAACUCCACCAUCUUGUGACUGCUGCAUCCCAAGCUUCUCCCACAUAUCACAUCCCUGACCAGCCCUUCCUUGUUAGUAGAAACAAGUUCAAGUAGCACACCCCUCCUAGUCGGCUCCUCCACUACUUGUGUCAGAAAGCUGUCAUCAAAGCAUUGCAGGAACUGCCUGGACCUUGUGUGACUGUCCAUGCUUCUUAACCAACAAAUAUCAGAAUGGUUGAAAUCCCUGAUAAUAACCAGUGCUGGGGAUUGCAAGGCUUCUUCCAGCUGUUUGUAGAAGGCCUCAUCCACUUCCUUCUCCUGAUCAGGUGACCUGUAGUACACAUCCACAACAAUGUCACCUAUGUUAGCACUCCCCUUAAUUCUUACCCACAAAUUCUACACUUGUUCCACCCAAGUGGAGCUCAAUACAUUCUAAUUGCUUUCUUGCAUGAACAGCAACUCCACCACUUCAUCUUGCCAGCUGGUCUUUCCUUAAGAGGACAUAGCCAUCCAUGACAGCAUUCCAGUCAUGUGAGCUGUCCCACCAUGUCUCCAUGGCUGCAAUGAAAUCAUGGCCCUGUGAUCACACACAGAUAUAUAGUUCUUCCUGUUUAUUUCCCAUGCUGUGUACAUUGGCAUAUGGGCACUUUAGGGAAGCAGAGGGUGCAGAUAUCUCUAGAGGAGUGCUGAGGGUUUAAGCUGAGCUAUUGGCAAAGGAAACUUGUUAACCUAAGUUAAAUAAUUAAAAAAGGAAGUAUCUGAGAGGUAGGCCUGAGAAGUACUGAUAAUUGCUGUCAUACCUUACAAGAAUAUUAAAAAUCAUUUGUCUGUUCCUCUUCCCACUUUAUACUACAUCAUUCACUCAAAUUUGCAUGAUGUUUUCAAUUGCUUCAUGUUGAAUAUCAGAUUAAGAAGUAUCACAUAUUCAGUAUAAUUUCUUAUCCCUUCCUGGGUGCAUCUUCAUGUUUACUGUCAUUCACACUGGAAAUUCCCAGUAAAUACAAAAAAUGUGAGAAUACCAUGAAUGUAAGUCACUGAAAGUGGUAUCUCCUGUUUACUUCCAUGGAAAACAAAACAGAUACAAAGAGCACAAUAACGCUAUUUGAUAGAGCAAAUUCUAAGCCACAAACUACUAUUUUUCAACAUGAUUACCUUUACUUUUGCCAGCAGCGAACAAGAGUUUCCAUGCCACGUUCAUAAAAUCUGCUCCAUUGGAGGCGACCUACUGCUGCUAUCACCAUUGCUGAAACACAUCACCCACCACCUCACUGCUCACAUACACUGUUUGGUCUCCAUAAGCAUUCAGCAAGUAUUGAUGAAUGUCAGUAGGUACAAUUAUUUUUGAAUGGAGGAAAUCAAUGACACACCUUUGCUUCAUAACACCCUACAGUAUUUUAUCAGACUGCCCCUCUAACGCCAUCCAGCACACAGCAACAAAAUAUAGAGUAUUGGUGGGAAGGUUCAGCCUCUACUGCUAUACAACCAACAUUCCAUGUCUGCCAUUGCAGGCCAAUGUAAUAAAAUAUGAUGCAUCACUUUUGGAGCAGCCAUCAUGCCAUGAGUAUUUUGGCUUUCAUAUAUUGUAACUGAUAUAAUAUGUUCAACUUUUCUUAAUAUAAUAGUUUAGAGUCUUAUUUUUAUUUACUAUUUUCUUUCUUGUUCCUAAGAAAGUCUUUGAAUGUUGCAACUCUCAUUAUCUAGUCUUGCUGGGAAAACCAUAAAAAAGUCAAAGCACCUAUAUAUGUAGAAAAUAUAAUAUGAAGCAAAUCAAGAAUGAAAGAUAAAGAAUUAACUCAGAAAACAAUGAGAUUUGUAUUUAAAAAAAUACAUAACUUUGACUUUUUAUUAUUAUUCACAUAUAUUCUGCCUACAAGUUCUAAACUCUUAGAAAUACUGCAGUUGAUAAUCACACAGAGCAUUCCAAAAGCACCAAUAAAUUCAGUGAAAUACUCAUGAUGGUGACCUUAUGUUAUUAGUGUUACCUCAAAAAAGUCUCAAUAUAUGUAGCUGACAGCUGUACAUGUGCAUUUUGCUUCGGUAUAUCAGAUUUUUGUGCAGAUGAAGAUUGUGUUAUGACUGUCUCUUUCAUAGGUGAUAACAGUUCUGUUUCUCUUUGAGAGGUGCAAAACACAAUUGCUCCUAUGUGAUCCACAGACCUUAUGGAUGUGGAGGGUGAAAUAUUACUUAGGACAACUGUGUAGAUGCAACAAACUAUCAGCAUUGCAUAAACCAUUCUCCAUAUUUUGUCAUUUGACAGUUUCUGAUUUAUGCUGUUUCUCCAUCCAUCUGAAGUAGGUGUUUUUGUGCUUGUGUCAUGACUCUGUGUGAGUCCAGUUUCCUUCAGACAUACUUCUGGUUCCUGGCGUUACUCUUUCACCACACAGACUGUACGGAGUGCAUUUCAAAAGCUACCCUACCAAAUAAAAUAAUGGCUAUUUCUAGAAAUGUUGGUAGACCAAACUCUUUCUGUAGGCAGUCUUAGGCCAGUUGUAAAUAUCUAUAUUUAAAAAUACAAGCAUAACUCUAGAUUCCAGAGCAGCAGAAGUAUCUCAUUGAAUCAACUCCGUCUGUUUUUAGGCAUACUUUCAUGAUUCACAAAAUGAAGUCUUAUCUAUUACUUUCUACAGACCUUGUUCUUCUUCUUGUUUUCCUUUAAAGAAGAAAAGAUGCAAAAGCGGUGGUACCUACAUGUAGAAUUCUGAAAAUAAUGGAAAUUAAGAUAAUAAAUCUCUCCUAACAAGAACAUAUAUGAUGUUUCUGCUUCUUAGAGAUAAGUCAGGUGUUUGGAAAGCUUCUUGCAAUCACUGAGUGUAGUGCUUUAGAAGUCUUGUCUGUUGAGUGAGAAAAAAGAACAAAUAGAAGGCAGGUCUUUCUUAUAUAAGGGUUUCUAACACUCAGUAUUCAUCAAAGCCUCUAUCCUGUCCAACCCUUUUACAAUGAUCUCACUUUCAUGAGAAGAAACAAGUGUUUGUUAAAGUAUUACGUCUCCUGCUAUAUAUCAAGGGUUUGUGACAAAGCCCGAACAAGUGACCAAGACACAUCUUUUAUACAUUUUCAGUCCUAAAGAAGAGACUGGACUGGGGCUUUCUUAGAGUCAUAUUCCUUGUAUCCACAAACAAGUAACGAUGUUGCAUAAAUUAGGGACUGCAUCUACCCUUUCUAAGAGAGGAAAGGAGAUGUUUUCUGUGUAAUAAAUCGGCUGCAAGACUAACUAAAUGCAUUUUGUAGUACUUUUUAUGGAGCAAGUGCAAUAUUUUUUACAGAUAAAGCAUAGCCAAGAGCAAAGGUUGAUGAUGGCUAUAUAAUUAAAGGCAUUCAAACUGUGCAAGUUGUCUGCCAACAAACGCUUUGCAAUGAAAAAGGCUCCAUAUUCAGCAACUGCUUUAAAAAUACUGUUCAAGCAUGGAUUUCCUUAAACUACCACUUGUCUGGCAAUGGCUUCCUCACCUGUGUAAUAAGAUUAAGAGAUCUACUUGAAAGCCAGAAAAGCUUUGCAAGUCAAGUGGAUAUUUGCAUAUUUUACAUUGCCAAAUACCUAAAGGAGAGAAACGUUUUCUGAAAGAUGAGGAAAACGUACAGAACACUAGAACUAGCACAAGGUUUUUAGACUCAAAGCAGCCCAAGUUCCUGAUUUUUGCCAGCUCUGCCAGCAUUGUUAAGUUAGUAAAAAAUAAAAAUAAAAAUCUGUUUGCAAUGACUACAUGAACUUUACAAACUAGUAAAUAGUUAAUAUUUAAUCUUAAAUGUACUUCGGGUUUUAAAUCAAGAGAAACUAUUUCAGUGUCUCAGGUGUCAGAUGGGGUAGCUAAUGAAGUGCUUUCUUGAGUGAUUUCUGUCACAAGCCUGCAUUCUGCAAAAUAGACCUUGGAAGAUUACAGAUACAUCAGAGGUAUCUGUAGAUACCUUUCAAGAAUAAAAAUAACAAAAUAACCUUACUGUAGUGUUUUGUGACAUUUAUUUUCUUUGAAUAGCAAAAUACACUCUAUAUCAGUUUCAAAAAUAAAAUAAAUUUUAAAAAGUGUCAA